UGGUUACUUAUAACUUUCUAACACUCUCAAAAUGGUAAUACACCACAUCCUUAUAUUUUGAGGGACACUUGCUGUCAAGGGAUGUGUGGAACUAUCUAACAUCUUACUAGAUGUGGAUACGUAUUUUACUAGUUCAAAUGUGGAGAAAUAGGCCAAGUGGGCUGUUUCCAUGGCAACCUGUUUGCCCCGCUUUGAACAUGGUGUGAACUUGACCGCCUUGUUUCUACGAAAUUAGUCACAUGGACAUUACUGCCACUCACCAAAACGCAACAAAGAGUGAAAUUUGAUAUUUAAAUUGAUUUAAAAUGUUCAGUUUGGUUGACGGCUGUGACAAGAAGCGCCACAUUUUUUUCCUAGCAGCUUGGCGACAGACGUAAAUGUCAGGUUCGUGUUAGCCUAGUAAAUAAAUAUUGCUACGUUAGCCUUGUUAGCGUUAUGCCCCCUUAACAUGUGUCUCUUAAACGCGGCAGCGGCGCGUGACCAAAGUUACGUUUAUCACUUGUACAUUGCUUGUUUUCGAGAAUACAGCCCUUCUCACAUACAACUACAAGGUCGUCCACAUUGUAGCGGCUCCAAUGUAGUUACCUUAAAGGGAAACGCAACAAAAGGCACCGGGCUUGUUGUUAUGCUUGCUCUUCAGCCCCUCCGCAAUCUACUUUGGGCUAACUUCAAGUUGGUGCGAAUGACGUCAACAAGCCCGCAUUCUUCUGUGUUUGCUUUGAAGAGGACGCAAUAAGACCAAGACUCACUAGCGCCACUGUGUGUUUACUCCUUGACUUGCAAGCACGUGGCAAAAACUUUACGAGUGAGCACCUGUUGAUGGGAAAGAAUGCAAGGCCAGGCAGGAAAAAAAGCCUUUGGCCACUUGAGGACGCAGCAGGACAAUGAAAAGACUCUUGCUCCUGGGCUUGAUUUUCCAAAACUCACCACCGUGUCUCAUUCGUUCACAUCAGUUACAGUCUAUCAAAACAUGCAGCUUUUAUGAUCAGUCCAGCCUGAUGAAGAACAGUAUAUGACGUCACAGCCCCCUCAUCAAUAAUAUGGUAGGAUAAGCUUGUAAAAUGACUUGACCAUCUGAGGGUCACCUCUUAGUGCUGUUUUGUGAAUUACACAAUUUUUAUGUGUACAUUUUCCUUGUAGAUUUUGUGUCACUCAAAACUCUUUGAGUUGAUAGACCAGUAUUAACAUGUCCAAAACUUUCAUUCAUUCAUUCAUUCAUCCUCUGAGCCGCUUAUCCAAACUCUACACUUUAAUAAACAUUGGUAGGAUAAGCUGCAUAGAAAAUAGAUAGGAUACACAUUGGUUGUAUACUUGUGACUUUUGUAAUAAUGGCCAUUUGAUAAUAAAAUGUUAAUGAGUUUAAUAACGUAUCAUAGUUAAAUUCAUAUUGUAAAAUUAUCAUAGUAUAAUUUUAGUACGUCUAUUUGUGAACUAUAGUAAAAAUAUAACAGUUCGUCAUGAAACAGGGAAUUCUCAUCAUCAAAAUAGCCAGCCUUUUCCAGGAAAUUACCAUGUUCUUUUAUUGUUUAAUGACUCUAUUCUCAAAAUGUUAUGACUUAAACAGCUCAACUGUGGUUUUAUUAUUAAUUUGGUUUAAAGAACAUAUGGCUGAAUUCAGUGGAAAAAAUAAUUACCGUAUUGGCCCGAAUAUAAGAUUGUGUUUUUUUUGCAUUGAAA